CACAAUAAUCAACUAGAAGAAUGACAAGUACGUAGUACAAUUUAUUUCAUGAUAUGAAUAAACAUAUCGUGAUGGGCCCAUGAGGUUCCCUAUAUCUGGAUUGUUACAAGUGCUCGAUCAGGCGAAAUAAAGUCGCCAAAAGAAACAAAUAAAAAUGAAAGAAAAACUAGUGCACGUACAAUGUGCAUUCGUGACAAUGAAAUUAUGAGAAACAAUAGAAUAUAAUUUGGUGUGUGUGGCAGGAGGGGGUAUGUUAUUUGGUGCAGACGAUGGUGUUGUGCAUGCUUCUAAAUAUUAAUGAGAUGCAACUUACGGAAUUGGCCGGCUAGCCUCCGUGAAGCUAUCCUCCAUCUUCUUGAACUUCUCAGCGGGUGCUGCGGCAGUAACUAUCUUAGCGGCUAUCUUGUAGGCCAAUAGAUGUGUAUCAAAUUUCGCCUUGUCUCCCUUGGCCUUCUUCAUCGUGUCCAUAGCGAGGAGUUCCUGCUUUGCAACAGCCCCGGCUACUUUCAUCCUUUCGGAUGGUGGGGCGGCGGCGAGGACCCCGUCUAGGGCUGUCUUGAUGAUGGGUGUUAGCUCAUCCAAGGCGGCCUCCUCGGACUUGACGAUGGCGGCGCUUGCAAGCAUUGGUAAUGAUGCGAUUUCCACCAUGACGAUGAGAAGGGUUAGUGCCACCGCAAUGUUCUGGAGUGGGGCCAUUGCUCUUGUUGGCCUAACAGGUGGCUAAGAGGAAUAAUUCACCAGGAUUUCAGUGAGAUUGAUGUUUUCACCUUGGAGGUCUAUAAAGGUGGUCCUUGCUUUAAAUAGGUGACGUUGCACAAAGAGAGCGCGAGGCCACGAGAGCUUCGCGGGCGCCAUGCCGUACGUGGGUGAAAACUUUCUUGCAUGCACGCAUGUCUAGCCGUGUGAGCAACCGCUUUCCUCUCAAUCGUAAUUCCUAAGAUGUAGGAGUACCAUCCAUCUAGCUGGGCAGCAUCACUAGUAAAAUGACCGGAUCUUGUCUGGUGUGCAUGGUUCCAUGUAUCAGAGGUUCAUGAUAUAACCUUCUGAAUGAGAGGUUCACGAUACAACCUUUUGACUACAACGCUAACUCUGUAUGUGCUUCCUAUAUGUCACUUUUAUGCAAAAACCGAUUAGUAUUUGAGUCAGAGCAGGAGAAGGUUGCAGCCAACGUGGGAGGUCAUGUGCUUCCUAUAUGUCACUUUUAUGCAAAAACUUAACUUGGUGUUUUGAAAAUUUUGAAUGUAACUCCCAGUUUUCAAUUAUGUCCAGUUUCUAGGUUAUGACUACAACCCCAAUUUUCCUUGCCCAAACAAUUCCCAAUAUGUCGAGCACUCUGCGUGCGUGCUCCGGGUGUGGCCAGAGCACCCGCACUGCACCCCGACGGCACCCGAGCCCUGCCGAGCCUUUUGGUGCUUCGCCUGCACGUGCACCUCCUCCUCCCCUUGCUCCGUAAGACAUCCACCUCCCUCCGACCCUCUCCCUCGUCCACUAGUGUCGACCACCGCCGUCCUCAUCGUCCUCAACCACCGCAAUAAAGUCCGCCGCCGCAAUCCACUCGGGGACGACAGUGACCUGGCCGCCACCACCGUGCCUUCUUCGGGAAGCCGAGAAACCGAUGUUGCACGGCUAUAUAAGAGCCUCGCCGAGAUCUUCUCAAGGAAUACACAUCUCCUACCCACUCCUAGGACGCCCCCCCCCCGCCCGCCCGCACGCUUUAUCGGCCACGCAAGGCCGUCUUCUUCAUCUCCGGCAGCUUCUGCCGUCGUCACCAUUCAGAUCAUUCCAUCACAACCACGGCUUCCGGCUCCCCACUUUCUUCACCAAUAGGUCCCUACCAGCCCCACGGAUCCGUUCCCCUCCCCAAUUUGGCCGGAGAAAGCCCAUAGGCGAAAUCUCUCUUCGAGCUCCGUCGGAGCUUCUUGAGAGAACCUCGCCGCCGGCGACCUCGUGCCUCCCUUCGGUCAUGACCUACCCCUGCGGGAUCUCGAAGACUUCCUGGUCACGUUGGUGUUUUCAGCUCCUUGAAUAGUGCCGCCGUCCGCAGGCAGCGAUUUCCAGAACUCCACUCUGUUCUGUCGCGGGAGGGAGACGACGAACCGGUCAAAUCAAGCAAGCGGGGCCCAGUCGCAAGCCUCUCCUCGCCUCUCUACUCGUUCCGCUCAGAAGUUGGGCCGGCCCAGUGACACCGCUCGGUUAUAUAGCGCUUAGGGCGCGCUUCUAACGUUCUCUCUUUUCUUUUACCAUCAGAAUACAAUUAUUCCACAACAGUCAUUUUAGGCACAAAAUUGAUGAUUCAAAUUUUCAAAUACUCCUAAGAACAUGCUCUAUUAUUAUAGCUAGGGUGAACAUUUUUCCUUGGCUUAUUUUUUGUUGGGUCCAUUUAAUUGUCCUUUUAAUCAUUUAUUCCAUCUUAGAAAUUCCAUAAAUAAUCCAUAUGAACUCCAAAUGAAUUGAUUCUUUUCUCGUAUUCCUUAUAUUUAAUAUAGUCUAUUUUAGUAUUCAUUUCAAAAUUUUCUAGACAACUUAUUAGCUCUAUUAUGGAGUUAUAUGGUAAUUUAAAUAUUUUUGAAAUAGGAAAUGGAGGGGAGAUAAAUAUUUCAAACUUUUGGAGUGUACCCAAUAUUUAUACAUGCUCAAGGCAAGCAUAUUGAACACUUGACAUGGUGAUUGCAUGCAUAACUGUUGCUAAAAUAAAUUAUCCAUGCAUGAGUUGAAUUUGAGUAGUAUUUGCACAUGGCUACUUUGCAUGCAUGAUUCCUGACUAAUUAUUGCUGUCAUCCUUAAAACUUGAUGUCUGAGUAAGCAUGGUUACUUUUACGUGUCAUAUAUAUGCCUGUGUGAUCCGGACUAAACUCCAGGAAAGAAUUAGUCAAAAGUAAAGUGACCGUGAGACUGAAUUCUCGUGAUGACAAGAAUAAUCAGUAAGGGCAUGUCCAGGUAGUGGCCCUAUUGGGUACUACCGAGAGAAUAUGUCGUGCUAGUCACUGUAGGAAAACAUAACCUCCUGAUUCGACCGUAGAUCGAGUCUUGCUUCGGUAACCCCCAUACUUGAUCUGUGGUGCCACGGGUCCUUCCGCAAAGAAGGUAUCAUUCAGUAACUUGAUAACCCGUGUCCAGGUACACACUACAUAGAGAGCCACGAUGAGGGUUUCCAUGCAUGGACGAAAUCCUGUCAUCCUGUCAGGUGGCAUGGGUGUUUCCGGUAUGUAGCCGAGAGGGGGGAAUCCCUUGUAAUCCAUGCGUAUGAAUAGUGAUCCCAUGGAAGACGUUGGUCUCCCCGUCUUAGAGUUUACCGAAUAGAUGCCCUGGGUGAUUGCUGGCAUCCAGACGGUUAAGCUGGUGUGCGCUGGUGAGGUGUGUUUCAACCUAAAGACCGUAAUGGGAAUUAGCCAACGUCUCGGUGCUGGCUAAAGAAAUCCUUUACUUAUGGGAUAAGAGUAUACCCUCUGCAGAGUUAUAUCUAUUCGAAUAGCCGUGUCCGCGGUUAAGGACUACAAUUUGGGUUGGUGAAGUGUCAGUCUUAGAGUCGGUCUCUAGAGGAAAUAAUGAAAUUGAGCAUGGUCUAUAUUGCAGGAUAACUAUUGCUGCUAGUGUUACUACGAUUAUGAUUGAUGAUAUGAUUAUUAUUGUGGACUAACCCUGUCAAUUUCUUUUAUUUUCUUAGUGUCUCAGGGGCUGGCUAGAUUACCCCGGGCAUUCAGUUUUAUUUUCAAGACCUCUUGUGGCGUCCCUCGAGUUCUCACGCGGUUCUAUCUCGCCACUACUCUUGUGGACACCCGACUGGAAUUUAUUUUCAAGACCUCUCAUGGCGUCCAUCGAGUUCUCAGGCGGUUCUACCUCGCCACUACUCUUGUGGACACCCGACUGGCAUUUCUUUUCAAGACCUCUCGUGGCGUCUCUUGAGUUCUCGGAUGGUUCUGUCUCGUCCAAUUUCUCUUUUAGACACCCGUUUGACAUUUCUCUUCCAGACCUACCGUGGUGUUACCGUGCUGUCACUUGACAUCCAGCCGACCUUUCUUUUAUGUUUUCUAUGGAUUCUCGGAUGGUUCUGUCUCGUCUGAUUUUUCAUCAACCUUCUUUGUUUGUCGCUAACUCGUUACUUCUGCACAUGCUAAUUAAUAUGUCAUCAGGCCAUGAUUUAAUUCCUGUCAGCAUGCAUAUAAUAUAGUCUAGCAUGAGCACAAGCAAAAUAGUUUACUUCUUCAUGAUCAUAUAUUAUUUGCUGCAUUCGGUAUAUCAUUUGUUUAUAAUGUUUGCAAGUACAUUCAAGCAUACUCAUUGGCUUGUCCUUGGGUAUUUCAUUGGCCAGGUCCGAAGAGUAUUAUGAUGACGUCCAUACGGAGCAUAGGAUAGCACCCACGCGGGAUAGGAGUUAUCCAAGUCAGCCGUUCCUCUGGGAAUGGAGCCCCAUCGACGUUGGAGAAUUCACGGAUCGCUUCCGUCAUCCACCACGAGAAAUCAUUAUUGUAUCACUAGACCUUUACAGUCUUGUAUCAAAUUCAUGUAAUUGCUUGGAAGUAUGUCACUACAAAUAAUAUGCUAACUUAUAACCUUCAAUAUUUGUCACCGAAUGGUCGUUGGUUUCCAUUUGCGACCUUUUUACGACAAAAACAGAAGGUCAAAAGCUGAGGGUCUCUAAUGAACUAUAACGACCAAAAUGAAAGGUCGUUGAUUCUACAACCAUUUUUUUCAUCGCUCGCAAUCUGCCCUCACCACGUCGGAUCUGACGUGGCAAGAUGACAUGGCAAAUUUGCGACCAAUUGAAAAGGUUGUUGGUAAGAAUCAGUCCGGUCCAAUUUGGUGUCUAUAUGGGCCAAGCCCAUCAAUUCAGCCCAUUUAUAUUUCCUUCCAAUUUGGGUCAGCUGCAUGGGUGAAGCCCUACAAUUCGGCCUUUUAUUUUCUAGGCCAUGGCCUUUUGACAAUCCAUUUAUUUUCAAGUCCAAUUUUCAAAUGGUAACAACUCUCAGAUUUUUCUAGGCAUAUGUCCCAAUUGUUAGGUUUUGAUAUUUUUUACAGCUUAUUGAUAAGCAAUAUAUCAUAUAGAAAGGAGAGAAAAAACAUAUGAAAAUCUUCAAAUAGCCUCAUUCACAUUCUAGUUUAUUACAAUAUUCUAGUGAGAACAGAACAAAACACUGAAACUACAUACACUCAUUCACAUUACAAUAGCCAGUUUAACCAACAAAUCUUGCAUACCCAGGAACUUCAAACUUCACCCGGAUAACCAAACAAUAUUCCACACAAUAAAAAAUAUUGCAAUCUACAAAUAAAACGCUCUGCAAGUGUAAAAGAUGACUACUCUUGGAUACCAUGGAACAUGCUCUUCGACAUGGAAAGAAGUCAUCAACGAUGUUCUACCAAUGGACGUUCCAUUCACCUACAAGAACAGAACGGAAUAUCAAGUACUUGCAUUGUUCCAGCAGAUUACAACCAACAUAUAUAUGUAGAAGUACAUCAGGAAAUAUGAUGGAGCAAAUCGGACAACAAAUACAUUAAGUAGACAGCCCAACUGAUGGUUGAUGACGACAAGCAAAAAGUAUAAACCCAGGUUUGCAUCCAAACAACAUUUAGAGCUAGAAUGAUAACUAAUAGACUAUAAGCAUACAAAAGGAAAUAUAAUUUCAGCAAAAUUAAAACCGAUGAUGAAAACUAAAUAAUAGUGCAGCAUAUUAGCUCUUAGAAUGAAGGAACAUCAUCAAAUUAAACAAGACAGUUGUUCAAGUUUCUAUACAACUAUUCAUGAUUAGAGUUUGUUAUUGUCGUCCAAAUUCUCCAACAUGUACAAAAUUAAUUAAUACAUCUGAAUGAACAAACAUGACGCCAUGAAGCAUCAGGCCAGCCAUGAUUUACAUAUUUUCCAAUGAACAAACAUGAUACAUGCAUCAACGAUUAGGCCAUUAAGCAUCUGUCCCAUAUUUGUUCAACAGGACGAGUACAUACCUGAAUUUGGGUCGAUGCGAUGGAUGAGGCUGCAGUUGAACAUCUGGUCUAGGGAUGAGCCUGCUAAUCCCAAUCGAACAAACAAAUUCAUUAGGAGGGGCUUGGAGAGACAAGGAAGAAAUGAAGUAAACAUACGUACAUGUCUAUAUAUAAGCAGCAGAAGUAAGUAAUAUAAAUAUAUCCUGUUUCUUCCUCUACAACACUAAAUAGAGCAACACCAAUCAUUGUACACAAGGAGCAGCAACGGCAAGCCGAUAAAGAAAGCUCAGGAUUUGUGUCUUUUGCAAGUUUUAGCACAUUAGUACAUGUGUUAAAAUGAAAGCGUCCCUGCUGGGUUAUAUUAAUAAAUAAUCCAAGUGUUGAAACAGUCAACAAAAUAAAAAAAUUCUAUACACACGCACAGAACACGACACACCUGGUUGCUUGCAAGGCUAUUUUUUAUUGGCCAGACUACUUGCAUCCAAGAAUGAAAAAAGGAAUUCGUUCGUUGGUAGGAUGUUGUAUAUAAGGUGCAAAUGAAACAUAAUGUGAUGGAUGCUGACUGCCUACGUGCACAAUGCGUGCCGGCAACGGAUGCCGCUGCCGUCCGCCUGCCUACUACUGCUGUACCUAGCUGCUGCUGCUAUUGCUGCUGCAAAUGACGGGUUGAGCCGCAGGCGUAGCACAGCAGGCCAGGGAAGUGUGUAGCUGGUCCUGAUGGAAAUUUUGCAAUGGCAAGAAAAACAAAACAUAAUAGGCAAGCAGUGUGUAUAAUCCACGGACGACACAUAAAAACAACGAUCUGCUUCGGUGGGACUCACUAGUACUUAAGUCUAAAAUUCAAUCAGUCAUCUGGAGCUGGCACGGAAGGGACAAAGCGAGCAUGAGAACAGAAUUCGCCCUAAUUAAAGGUGCCCGUACGCUACUACUGAAGAAAAAAGAAACAAACAUAAACCAUUUGACUGAAUUAGAGGUGCAGAUAGUUGAUCUUUGAAUUUAGAAAUUACCUGUAAACAUAACUCGUCAAUACAAUACACAACAAAUUGGAAGGAAACAUAAUUUUCGAUGGUCCGUACACAAAGAUAUUAGCACUAAACUGAAUUUAUAAAGACAAUAAUGUACAAGUUUCAUCAGCUAACUCUAAGUGCUUGUGCGACCAAAGAGAACUAUAGCAGGAGAAUUUUUUAUGCUAACUACAAAGAUAUGCAUCGAUCAGUACAAACAAAAAAGUAUAACUACCAACAAACAACCCAUAUCGCUGAAAGCAGUACCAAGUAACCGACAACAAGCUCUCAAACAGGCAAUGCUAGGCACAAUUGCUAGUAAUACAUGUUAUUUUUGCAAAGUGGUUUAGUGCUAUGAUAAUUUUCUACACGUACUCCCUGAUUUUUCUUAGUCAUAUACUGAUCUGCUCACUCCAGUUCUAUCUACUCACCAUAUUCACAUGCAACAUAAGGAACUAGUGUAGAAAACCACUCAACCGCAUUCACAGCAACGAACAAGGUAGAUGGAUAUAUGCGUGCAUUGGUCACCUCGCGUCGCUGACCUGCGCGAACUUGAUGAAGAAGACGUCGGUGUAGUCCUCACAGUCCUCGGCGUCCAUGGGCUUGCACCUGAACCCAAACAAACGCACGCACACACAGAGAGACACGGAAAGAAAGAAAAAUGGUGAGCACUGAACAUUAGCAGGGAGAAGAAGAUGCGGAUUCAGGUCGCUUCUAUCGGUUCACUUUUCCAGGGGGCAUACGCCGAGAACGUGGAGCCGAGCUCGUCGCCGCAACCGAGUGUCGGCACGUUCCAGACGACGAGGUACCUGCGGUCGAAUCGGUGUUCGGGAUAAGACGCAAGGAGGGGUUACCGGCGGUGAUGCGGAGGAGGAGAGGUUGCGCUAGGGUUGAGGAGUGGUGGUUACUUGGACUCGUCGCAGACCCAUCCUGCAGCAGCGGCAUGUCCUUGACGCUGACCAUCCCCGGCAUGUUCCGCACAAUAGAAUCCAUCAUCUUGGCUCCGAUCCGAAAAUAUCACCACCAGAGGGGGACGAAGCGGCCGCGGAUCUGGUCCUCCGGCGAGAGGCCGAGCAAUUUGGAGUGCAGAUAUAGCUAGGCUUAGUGGCGGGUCGGAGCGAUUUGGAGGAAGAAGUAGGAGGGGAGAGGCUUACCGGUGCCAGAUCCGACCACCUCUGGCCUCGCCGUCACCGGAUGUGUGAGAUCGAUCCCGGGGGUGUGCUGCACACCGGCGAGAGCGGCGUCAACUCGCCGGAAUCAAGCGGCGCAAGUGACGGCGGCAGAGGAGUCGCAGGAGGGGGACAGAGAUAUGGCUCGCAGGGGAGAACGGGGAUAGUGGUUUUGUUUAGAUUAGGUCGAACGAGAUACAUUGGAUCUGCAUGGUGUGGACGGUCUAGAUUCGCUAGAGUGGGGUGAUCCGUGGGAGGGUGUUUUCAACCUCCUGAUUGGUUCAAGAUAUGUGUAAUUGAAAAUGGUUUUUAGUGCUAUAAAAACAAGGAAUUUUUUAAAGAAACUAUGAAAAAUAUUUUACAAAAUGACACCAUGCUAUAGUUUUUUCAAAUGUUCCCACAGUGUUCCCAAAUGAAAUAAUAUUUUACAUAAUGACCGCAUUUUCAAAUGGGGAUGCAAAAUUCAAAAAAAUUCAAAAAAAUGUAAAACCUUCGCAUCGUGUCACUUUAUGUGACCAAGUUAUCAGGAAAAACAAUAAACUUGAAUACGACAAUUAUUUUUAAAAAGUGUUCUAAAAAGUGAGCUAUCACUUGUGAAGAUUCAUAGCUUUCAAGCGAGAUGAUCGAUCUUAUGGCCACAUUCAUGGCAUAGUUUGUUCAAAUGAUCUCAUAUUGUACACAAGGUUGCAUAUUGGAAUGGCCAACAAUGUUGCUUAAGGAAGUUUUCAUUUCCCUUGUAUGAAAAAUUCAUUUUCCAUUUUUCAAGUGUCCAAAAUAAGUUUUUUGUGAAGGACCUACCAUAUAUUUAUUGCCAAAUUGAACCAGAUCAUUUUUCUAAAAUUCUUUGUCAUAUUUAAUGUACAAUUGACCAAAUAUUUGGGUGUUAAAAGUUUUAUCCACCUGUCGUGAAAAGACAAAUUUCCCCGAAUUCAGUAGGAAGCGGGUCAAAUUUGAACUGCAACUCCCUCAUAGUUUGCUCUUUAUUUUUCCCAAAAAUCAUUUGUAGGUAGAUAGGUAUCUAUUUAAUCAUAGAAACACCAAAAUGUUUCCAAUAUUCAACAACUAGCUAGGAACGGUCAUGCCCACCGUUUUGACCGCAUUUUGAAACAGGCAUGAAAAAUUCAAAAAAACUCAAAAAAUUGGAAAACCUUCUCAUUGUGACAUUAUAUGUGACCAAGUUACCGAAAAAAUAAUAAACUUGUAAUAAGGCAAUUAUUUUAGAGAAGUGUUCUAAAAAAUGAGCUAUCACGUAUGAAGAUUCAUAGCUUUCAAGCGAGAUGAUCGAUCUUAUUGCCACAUUCAUGGCAUAGUUUGCUCAAAUGAUCUCUUAUUAUGCACAAGGGUGCAUAUUGAAAUGGCAAACAUUGUCGCUUAAGGAAGUUUGCAUUUUCUUCGUAUGAAAAAAUCAUUUUCCAUUUUUCUAGUGUCCAAAAUGAGUUUCUUUGUGAAGGACCUACCAUAUAUUUGUUGCCAAAUUGAACCAAAUCAUUUUUCUAAAAUACUAUGCCAGAUAUAAUUUAUAAUUGACAAAUAUUUUGGGUGUUAAAAGCUUUUAUCCACAUCUUGUGAAAAAGACAAAUUUCUCCCGAUUCAGUAGGAAGCGGGUAAAAUUUGAACCGCAUCUCCCUCAUAGUUUGCUCUUUAUUUUUCUCAAAAAUCAUUUACACAUAGAUAGGUAUCUAUAUAAGCAUAGAAACACCAAACAAUUUCUAAUAUUCAACCACUAGCUAGGAACGGUCAUGCUGACCAUUUUGACCGCAUUUUGAAACGGUCAUAAAAAAUUCAAAAAUUAUCAAAAAUUGGAAAAACCAUCCCAUUAUGUCAUUAUAUGUGACCAAGUUACCUGGAAAAUAAUAAUCUUGUAAUACGACAAUGAUUUUUCAAAAGUGUUCUAAAAAAUGAGCUAUCACGUGUGAAGAUUCAUAGUUUUCAAGCAAGAUGAUCGAUCUUAUGUCCACAUUCAUGGCAUAGUUUGUUCAAAUGAUCUCAUAUUGUGCACAAGGAUGCAUAUUGGAAUGAAAAACAAUGUUGCCUAAGGAAGUUUCAUUUUCCUUGUAUGAAAAAUCCAUUUUCUAUUUUUCAAAUGCCCAAAAUGAGAUUCUUUGUGAAGGACCUAUCAUAUAUUUGUUGCCAAAUUGAACCAAAUCAUUUUACUAAAAUACUAUGCCAUAUUUUAUGUACAAUUGAAAAAAUGUUUGGGUGUUAAAAGCUUUUAUCCACUUCUCGUGAAAAAGACAAAUUUCCCCCCGAUUCAGUAGGAAGCGGGGUCAAAUUUGAAUUGCAUCUCCCUCAUAGUUUGCUCUUUAUUUUUUCCGAAAAUCAUUUAUAGGUACAUAGGUAUCUAUUUAAUCAUAUAAACACCAAAUGUUUCCAAUAUUCAACCACUAGCUAGGAACGGUCAUGCCCACCGUUUUGACCGCAUUUUGAAACGGGCAUGAAAAAUUCAAAACAAUAAAAAAUUGGAAAACCUUUGCAUUGUGUCAUUAUAUGUGACAAAGUUACUAGGAAAAAUAAUAAACUUGUAAUACGAUAAUUAUUUUUAAAAAGUGUUCUCAGAUUGAGAAAUCAUGUAUGAAGAUCAAUGGCUUUCAAGGAAAAUGAUCAAUGUUAUGGUAUCAUUCAUGGCAUAGUUUAUUAAAAUGACCUCAUAUUGUGCACAACGGUGCAUCUUGGAAUGGAAAACAACGUUGUCUAAGGAAGUUUUCAUUUUCUUUGGACGGAAAAUUCAUUUUCUACAUUUCGAAUGCCAAAAAUGAGUUUUUUGUGAAAGACCUACGAUAUUUUUAUUUGCAAAAUUGGAUCAAAUUAUUUUUAUAAAAUAUUAUAUCAUAUUUAAUGUACAAUUGACAAAAUGGUUGGGAGUUAAAAUCAUUGAGACACCUCUCGUGAAAAAGACAAAUUUUCCUUGAUUCAAUAGGAAACGGGUCAAAUUUAAACUGCAGGUGCAUUAUAGUUUGCUAUUUAUUUUCCCAAAAAUCAUUCAUAGGUACAUAAGUAUCUAUUUAAUCAGAGAUACAUGGUGUGGUGGUAGGACGUCGAGGUUUGGAUGGUGUCUGAGGGGCCUGCCUGCCAACCGCGUGGUCACCCUAAAAGAGCUUAUAUUUCUUCAAAGCAUCUCACUAUAUCCCCUUUUUAUCCGACAGAUACUUAUAAGAUGGAUGCACUGAUGGAAUAAAUCGAAGAAACAACACCAUUAAUGUACUAAUAAAAGUAACAAAAUGCAUCGAAAUAGGGGUACUAUGCCAGAAGGAGGCCUCCUCUGAACGGCCUUCUACAAUAGAUAUAAAGAGCAAAGCUAUUCUUUAAAUGGAUUCAUAUUUGCUUGGACCGUAUUACUAGACCCAUUCCGUUAUUAAAUGUAUUCAUUUGAAGAAUGGAUUACGGUGUUUGAUUGUGGUAUUAUUGUUAGACGAUAGGCUUAUACCAUGUAAUGUGACUUGUAUAUUAGACUAGACUCUAGAGUGACAUGCCGGUUGUUGAGAAACCUGUACCGGCUAUCCUUAUGAACUGCGACAAUCAAACAGUGAUCACGAAAGUAAGCAGCUGAAAGGAUAACAUAAAACCAUCAAGACACGUCUAGAGAAGUUUAAAAUUUGACAGGAAAAUGAGAAACUCUAUAGUUAUUGCAUUGGAUUAUAUCCAAAAAUCUCAAAAUCUGACAGAUCCUUUUACUAAAGGUCUAUCACGUAAUGUGACAGAUAAUGCAUCGAAGGAGAUGGGUAUGAGACCCACAAUAUGAGUUGUUCAUAGUAGUAACCUAUUCGUUAUGAUCGUAGAUCCUAUGAAUUAGAUGUGGAAGACAAGUUGUUGGUCAACUGAGAGGAAAGUAUCCUUAUCAUUGAUAAUACCACUCCAUGAAGAUGCAAUACUUUCCUAAACUGCAUGGCAGGUUGAUAUACAUCAUAAUAUGUUCUAAGUGGCUUAUUGAAGCAGAGAUGUGGUCCUUCAGAACAUCUUUUGAAGAACACACCUAUAUGAGUCUGAUCGUUAACGUCGCAAUCUAUGAGAGUAGGGUGCUCUCUAGUAAACUCAUGAAUGGUCUCGGAGUAUGACACAUAAGCUCCACCCGCAGGGAAGUCCUACGGUAGCCUAGUAUCGGUCAAGGCUCUGUGUGAAGCUAGAUUCGCAGAAUACUUGUUGUUCAAGGCCUAGUCCACUUUUCAAGUUGCUUACUAGUGUAGCAUAUCUGUGAGAAGACAAUUAAGAGAAUGUAGAUAAUGAGAGUUAUCAGGGCUAGAGCACACACGUGUGAUCGAGCUAAAACAACCCGAUGAGACAAGUUGUUUCAUUGAUUUGUUUCUUACAUCAUCAGUUUAAAUAGUGGUAGUACUUGUUAAAUUCGUCGCCACGGCAAAUUUGAAUGGUUUGGAAAUUUAGUCAUCCAUGGAAGACUCUAAGGCUAGCUUGCUGCUCGUACCAUUUAUUCAUUGUUUUGUUGAUUAAAUCUGAUUGACAAGAACUAGCUAGUCGACCGGUCGUGCAUGCAUGUGACUGAGGUGAGUUGAGGCCCAUAUAUAAGACCGACUGAGCGACCAUGUUUGGUUUCAUGCAUCCAACUUAUCAGCACCAAAUGCAUGGCAUGCACAUGGACAAGAAGAGUGAAGAGUUAAGGAUAUAUUAAUACAAUUAGUCUAAUCUGCUAGAGAAGAGCAAUGCGGCGCUGUGCCGCAAGGCCGGUAACAUACAACAUCGAAGAAGCGCUCUAGAGUUUCAAGUGAAGCAUAGUUGAAUGAGUCAACCAUGCACAAUAAUCAACUAGAAGAAUGACAAGUACGUAGUACAAUUUAUUUCAUGAUAUGAAUAAACAUAUGGUGAUGGGCCCAUGAGGUUCCCUAUAUCUGGAUUGUUACAAGUGCUCGAUCAGGCGAAAUAAAGUCGGCAAAAGACACAAAUAAAAAUGAAACAAAAACUAGUGCACGUACAAUGUGCAUUCGUGACAAUGAAAUUAUGAGAAACAAUAGAAUAUUAUUUGGUGUGUGUGGCAGGAGGGGGUAUGUUAUUUGGCGCAGACGAUGGUGUUGUGCAUGCUUCUAAAUAUUAAUGAGAUGCAACUUACGGAAUUGGCCGGCUAGCCUCCGUGAAGCUAUCCUCCAUCUUCUUGAACUUUUCAGCGGGCGCUGCGGCAGUAACUAUCUUAGCGGCUAUCUUGUAGGCCAAUAGAUGUGUAUCAAAUUUCGCCUUGUCUCCCUUGGCCUUCUUCAUCGUGUCCAUAGCGAGGAGUUCCUGCUUUGCAACAGCCCCGGCUACUUUGAUCCUUUCGGAUGGUGGGGCGGCGGCGAGGACCCCGUCUAGGGCCGUCUUGAUGAUGGGUGUUAGCUCAUCCAACGCGGCCUCCUCGGACUUGACGAUGGUGGCGCUUGCAAGCAUUGGUAAUGAUGCGAUUUCCACCAUGACGAUGAGAAGGGUUAGUGCCACCGCAAUGUUCUGGAGUGGGGCCAUUGCUCUUGUUGGCCUAACAGGUGGCUGAGAGGAAUGAUUCACCGGGAUUUCAGAUUGAUGUUU
rnacentral:lncRNA from 1 species